rnacentral:rRNA from 1 species
UUUAAUCUGAGAGUUUGAUCCUGGCUCAGGAUGAACGCUGGCGGCGUGUCUAAGGCAUGCAAGUCGAACGAGUCGGUUCUCUUCGGAGAGCUUGAUUAGUGGCAAACGGGUGCGUAACACAUUGGUAACCUACCCCAAAGUUCGGCAUAACAACUCGAAAGGGUUGCUAAUUCCGGAUGUGUCCGCGUAUCGCAAGGUGCGCGAGUAAAGCCCAAAAGGCGCUUUGGGAGGGGCCUAUGGCCUAUCAGCUUGUUGGUAAGGUAAAAGCUUACCAAGGCUACGACGGGUAGCGGGUGUGAGAGCAUGACCCGCCUCACUGGGACUGAGACACUGCCCAGACACCUACGGGUGGCUGCAGUCAAGAAUAUUCCACAAUGGGGGAAACCCUGAUGGAGCGACGCCGCGUGCAGGAUUAAGGGCUUCGGCCUGUAAACUGCUUUUCCUUGGGAAGAAGCUUCGGCUGACGGUACCAAGGGAAUAAGGGGUUGCUAACUCUGUGCCAGCAGCAGCGGUAAUACAGAGACCUCAAGCGUUAUCCGGAUUUAUUGGGCGUAAAGGGUCCGCAGGCGGCCUGUUAAGUUAUUCGUUAAAUCUCAGGGCUCAACCCUGAGGCCGCGGAUAAUACUGGCGGGCUAGAGGAUGGGAGAGGUGAGCGGAAUUGCCGGUGUAGUAGUAAAAUGCGUUAAUAUCGGCAAGAACACCAAAGGCGAAGGCAGCUCACUGGAACAUUCCUGACGCUCAGGGACGAAAGCGUGGGGAGCGAAGCGGAUUAGAUACCCGCGUAGUCCACGCCCUAAACGAUGGAUGCUGGGUAUUGGGAGUAUCGACCCUCUCAGUGCCGACGAAAAAAGCUAACGCGUUAAGCAUCCCGCCUGGGGAGUACGGUCGCAAGACUAAAACUCAAAGGAAUAGACGGGGACCCGCACAAGCGGUGGAACAUGUGGUUUAAUUCGACACAAAGCGAGGAACCUCACCUAGGUUUGACAUGCAGCUGCAAACUCCGUGAAAGCGGAGCUUCUUCGAGAGUGCUGCACAGGUGCUGCAUGGUUGUCGUCAGCUCGUGCCGUGAGGUGUACCCUUAAGUGGGAUAACGAGCGCAACCCUCGUGCUGUGUUACUAUGUCACAGCAGACUGCCUCGGAUAACGGGGAGGAAGGUGGGGAUGACGUCAAAUCAGCAUGGCUCUUACGCCUAGGGCUACACACGUGUUACAAUGGACGGUUCAAAGGGUAGCCAAACCGCGAGGUGGAGCUAAUCCCAUCAAUACCGUUCUCAGUUCGGAUCGAGGUCUGCAAUUCGACCUCGUGAAGCUGGAAUCGCUAGUAAACGCGCAUCAGCCUCGGCGCGUUGAAUACGUUCUCGGGUCUUGUACUCACCGCCCGUCACGUCAAGAGAGUGGGUGGCGCCCGAAGUCAUGCGAUUGUGUGACGAAGGCGAAACUCAUGAUAGGGACGAAGUCGUAACAAGGCAUCCGUAGCGGAAGCUGUGGAUGGAUCACCUCCUUUCUAAGGAG